rnacentral:lncRNA from 1 species
CAAUGAGUUGCAAAUUCUGGUCGAUGGAGAAGAGAAGAAGAAGGCAAAUUUCCUUUCAUCCGAAGAUUUUGAGCCCCCACUUAUCCCUGCCAAGACCAUCCCUGAUCCAGAUGAUGUGAAACCUGAGGAUUGGGAUGAGAGAGCAAAGAUUCCUGAUCCCGAGGCAGUGAAGCCAGAUGACUGGGAUGAGGAUGCACCUAUGGAAAUUGAAGAUGAGGAUGCUGUUAAACCUGAAGGAUGGUUGGAUGAUGAGCCUGAGGAGAUUGAUGAUCCUGAGGCAACCAAACCAGAAGAUUGGGAUGAGGAGGAAGAUGGUGAGUGGGAGGCACCCAAGACUGAUAACCCAAAGUGUCAGGAAGGCCCAGGUUGUGGUGAAUGGAAGAGGCCAAUGAAGAGAAAUCCAGCAUACAAGGGAAAAUGGCAUGCUCCACUUAUUGACAACCCCAACUAUAAGGGCAUUUGGAAGCCUCAAGAGAUC